rnacentral:hammerhead_ribozyme from 1 species
AUCCAGUUAACGAGUGCCAAAUAGGACGAAACGCGCGUCAAACUGGAU